rnacentral:lncRNA from 1 species
GUCGUGAUUGCUCAACGUCUUUAAACUAAGAACUUUUUUCCCCAAAACUACAGAAAAAAGGCAUACUCAAAUUAAAUGACACGAAUCUGAAUCAAAUAAGUUUUCCACAAAAUCAGAAAUGAAAACUAUAUGGUGCCAAAAUCCAGGGACAGCGAUAAGAAUUAAAAAACUUCACAAUUAUCCAACGGUCUUAGAGUACCCAUCAUCAUCUAAACUCCAAACCUCAUUUUAAGUAAAUUAUACACUAUCAUCCAUAAGGAUAAAUAGUCAUCGACUAACUUUCUUGGUGGGAAUUAAAUAGUGAUACACGUUAAUACAGUCUUCUCCAAACAAACAGCAACUAUGCUUAAACCAGCAAAAGACUCAACCAUAUCUCCACUAAAACUGGAAACAUCCAGUAAAACAUCUGUACAUGAAUGAUUCUAUAAACUCUUCAGAAACAGCUGUGCAAAUGAAAUCCAAGUAACACAAGCUGCCAUGUGCUUCAGUAACUUGGCAUAUUCCAAUGCAACCAAAAGAUCGCAUAGAUAGGAAACCUUAGACUAUCUUAAAGAUAUAUUGCAAAUCCUGCAACAAAGCUUCAACUAUUGUCUCCCUUUUGAGAAAAUAAUUAAUUAAAUAUUAAAACUAUCAUAUAAAUACAAUGGUUCAUAUUUAACAAAUUCUUUGAAUUUCAGAAAAAUCAAUAGAAAUAGCCCAUCUAAUUAAACAAAUCUGGAAAAGUAAUCAAAGAUUAAAACAAAGCUGAUUGGCACACCUUUACGACUGCUUGAAGAACACAAUCUGUACGCAAUAGAUCAGGCAAGAAUUUAUUGAUUUAAAUUCAAGACCAUGGCAGAUGAAGAGAUUGGGAUUGCAACCAUGGGAUCCACAAGAAAUUUUGAGGGUAGGAAAAUUGAAUUAAUUAGGUUUUAAUUGGUAGCAAUCGACCAAAAAGUUAAGCCAAAAAGAGGGAAUUAUUUUUGGUGAAAAUUUAUGAAGGCAAAACAGAGAGGGAAUGCCGAAUGUGUAAGUCAUGGGUUUUUAGAGUGGGUAUGG